GACGAACGCUGGCGGCGUGCUUAACACAUGCAAGUCGAACGGAAAGGCCCUGCUUGCAGGGUACUCGAGUGGCGAACGGGUGAGUAACACGUGGGUGAUCUGCCCUCCACUUCGGGAUAAGCCUGGGAAACUGGGUCUAAUACCGGAUAGGAGCCCUUUUUAGUGUGAUGGUUGGAAAGUUUUUUCGGUGUAGGGUGAGCUCGCGGCCUAUCAGCUUGUUGGUGGGGUAAUGGCCUACCAAGGCGGCGACGGGUAGCCGGCCUGAGAGGGUGGACGGCCACAUUGGGACUGAGGUACGGCCCAGACUCCUACGGGGGGCAGCAGUGGGGAAUAUUGCACAAUGGGCGCAAGCCUGAUGCAGCGACGCCGCGUGGGGGAGGACGGCCUUCGGGUUGGAAACUCCUUUCGCUAGGGACGAAGCUUUUUGUGACGGUACCUAGAUAAGAAGCACCGGCUAACUACGUG
rnacentral:rRNA from 1 species